UCUGGUAAUUAAACAUUCUGCCAAAUUUCCUAAAAUUAAGAUGUUUACAAGAAGCCACACAGACCUGCAAGGGUUUGAGAAGAAUUUCUUAAGACUGAGAUUCGAAUAAAUAGUUUCAUAACUCUAAUAUUGUUAUAUGGUCCUAGAGAACAACAGGAUGGCUGGAGUUCCCUAUUUCACUGAAGAUGAGAGCUGGUGCACAUUGUCUUUAUUCCGUGUGACUUUUCCUCUGCAGCCAUAAAUUAUGCAGCCCAGACAUCAAAGAAGUCAGAGAAAGUUGAUUUCAGGACUUCCAGGCUGGAUCCUUGAAAAAGAGAGUAUUUGGAGAAUUGCAUUCAUGUCAAAGAGAAGUUUCUCUCUCAGCUGAACCAGCCAUGUUACUCUCUACAGCAAAUGUACUGCAUCUUCUGCCUCAGUAUGACAUCAGAAAAUGAGGUGGUGGGAGAGAAGGAGGUCAACCUCAGGAUUUCUUUUCAAGACAAGACUAUUGCACAGUUGAGGAGAGAAGGCAGCACACACCCUCCAGCGGUGAGGUCCUUCAAGGAGGGAGUGCCUCAGCUGCAGAGACGUCAUCAUCUACUAUUGCCCGUACCUAGUGAGUAAGAGAGCAGUGGUAUAUGGUGCAGACAUUUUGGUUUGAUUCAGGACAAU
rnacentral:lncRNA from 1 species